CCCAGCCUAUGUUUAUGUGUUAGGCUUAGAAUACUAAUAGUUAGAUUAUUAUCUGAAAAGUUUAAUGUUUAAACGUAGGUGCAGGCCAGUCUGUGUUACCAAAUUGUCCUUAUGUGUCAUGAACAAUUUGCGUUGUUACAGACACUAAAGUUCGUCCACAAACAUUUGAAUUAUUUGAAUGUCCGUGUAGCAAACCACACCAUCUUGCCUAGUCUCUCUGUAACGUUAAUCACGUGCAGACUAUCUUUGAAGGACAAGUUACACUAACGUUAGACUUGUCAUUAUUUUUGUAUGAUGUGAUCAGCAUUAUUGUAGGCUACUUGCUCUCAUUCGACUUCUAUAUUAAACGAGUAAAGCAAGUAAGUUUUUCAUGAUCAUGGUAGAGGCUGCCUACUCUAAAUGUUUGAGUGAUUUGUUAAUCACAAACAAGCCUCAAUGUAAUUAAAUGUUUUCUUCCCAACUUUUAAUUCAAAUUCUAAAAGAUUUCAGUAAUCUGAUAUUAUUAUAGUUUUGCAUGGUGUACAUUUGUUGAGUUUGAUAUACUUUCUCCACAGACGUGGGAGUGCAGAGUGCAAGACAUCAGCGUCAUUGAGGUCUCUCUUACAGAAGCAUUACAGAUGUGCAGAAUUUCACACCCAUUGUGCAACUGAAGUCCAAGUUUAUGCCAGAACUUGACAUCUGCUCCAGGCUGUCUGCUGAGUGCCAUAGGAAGGGAGGAGAAACAAGACAUAAGAUUAAGGAGAUCAUGGCUGCCAUUGAUCGGAAUCCUAUCAUUGGCUCGUUGAGAGUUUGCCACCUGCAAGCACUUGUUGUGUACUUGAAGGCCCUGAGAAACUCAAAGGAAUACCUGAGCUGCCAGGACUGGUGUCAUCACUGAAAGCAGUCAUAAACAACAUGGCAGAUUCAUCUAUUUCCUCCAGCCAAAGCGACUCACCACGCACUAGCAGUGAGACUUGCAGUGAGGACAUGGUAUUAUGACUGAAGUACC